rnacentral:rRNA from 1 species
AUGGCGACCGGCGCACGGGUGAGUAACACGUAUCCNACCUUCCGGUUACUCGGGGAUAGGCUUUCGAAAGAAAGAUUAAUACCCGAUGUUGCGUAUCUUUCUCCUGAAAGAUACGCCAAAGGAUUCCGGUAACCGAUGGGGAUGCGUUCCAUUAGGCAGUUGGCGGGGUAACGGCCCACCAAACCUUCGAUGGAUAGGGGUUCUGAGAGGAAGGUCCCCCACAUUGGAACUGAGACACGGUCCAAACUCCUACGGGAGGCAGCAGUGAGGAAUAUUGGUCAAUGGACGGAAGUCUGAACCAGCCAAGUAGCGUGAAGGAUGACUGCCCUCUGGGUUGUAAACUUCUUUUAUACGGGAAUAACAUGAGGUACGCGUACCUUAUUGCAUGUACCGUUAUGAAUAAGCAUCGGCUAACUCCGUGCCAGCAGCCGCGGUAAUACGGAGGAUGCGAGCGUUAUCCGGAUUUAUUGGGUUUAAAGGGAGCGUAGGUGGGAUAUUAAGUCAGCUGUGAAAGUUUGGGGCUCAACCUUAAAAUUGCAGUUGAUACUGGUUUCCUUGAGUACGGUACAGGUGGGCGGAAUUCGUGGUGUAGCGGUGAAAUGCUUAGAUAUCACGAAGAACUCCGAUCGCGAAGGCAGCUCACCGGGCCGGAACUGACACUGAUGCUCGAAAGUGCGGGUAUCAAACAGGAUUAGAUACCCUGGUAGUCCGCACAGUAAACGAUG